AGCUCCAAUAGCGUAUAUUAAAGUUGUUGCAGUUAGAACGCUCGUAGUCGGAUUUCGGGGCGGGCCGACCGGUCUGCCGAUGGGUACGCACUGGUCGGGCGCGUCCUUCCUUCCGGAGACCGUGCCUACUCUUAACUGAGCGGGGGCGGGAGACGGAACGUUUACUUUGAAAAAAUCAGAGUGUUUCAAGCAGGCAGUGC
rnacentral:rRNA from 1 species